UUCUUGUUAGAAACGCUCUAAAGCUGGUGAAGCAAAUAGGGGUAUGCUCCCCUACAAUCAUACAAGUGGAUCGCGAUCAUUUCCUAUAGCAAUGUCACUUAUGGCAAAUGAGGAUGGAGAAAUAGAUUUCCCUGAAUUUUAUAAGAAAUCACACAAGUCCAAGAAGACGGGAGACUGGAUUGACCCCAAAUGUGGUGAGCUACAUGAUGAUAUAGUCAAUCUACAAGUCGUAGCCACCGAUGCGGGGUUGCCAUUGACCCACGAAGAA